GAUGAACGCUGGCGGCGUGCCUAAUACAUGCAAGUCGAGCGAACAGACGAGGAGCUUGCUCCUCUGACGUUAGCGGCGGACGGGUGAGUAACACGUGGAUAACCUACCUAUAAGACUGGGAUAACUUCGGGAAACCGGAGCUAAUACCGGAUAAUAUAUUGAACCGCAUGGUUCAAUAGUGAAAGACGGUUUUGCUGUCACUUAUAGAUGGAUCCGCGCCGCAUUAGCUAGUUGGUAAGGUAACGGCUUACCAAGGCGACGAUGCGUAGCCGACCUGAGAGGGUGAUCGGCCACACUGGAACUGAGACACGGUCCAGACUCCUACGGGAGGCAGCAGUGGGGAAUCUUCCGCAAUGGGCGAAAGCCUGACGGAGCAACGCCGCGUGAGUGAUGAAGGUCUUCGGAUCGUAAAACUCUGUUAUUAGGGAAGAACAAAUGUGUAAGUAACUAUGCACGUCUUGACGGUACCUAAUCAGAAAGCCACGGCUAACUACGU
rnacentral:rRNA from 1 species